UUUAUAUCAUCACAUCCACUUCAAAGCACCAAGAAGCCCCUGGAUAGCCUUGGAAACACAGCCCCACUGGGAUGGGACAGAGGGCAGACACCGAGUCCUGCUCCAGAUGUGCUCACAUCUGGUCACAUGCAGCCAGGGAGAGAGCAGGAGAGCUGCCGGUUCCUGGAGGAAGACAAAGCCCAUAAAGCUGCCAAGCGUCCCUGCUCAGAGAUAUUUACACUCGCAACGUGUUCUCAUGGAAAUUAAUCCCAGGCUCACCCCUGCAGGAUCAGUGUGAUCUGCAUCCCCAUGGCACCCCCACGUGGGGAAAGCCUGGAGCCUCCGGACCCAGCCUGAUGUUCUCCUUUCCAUGGAGGGAAGGAAGGCUGGAAACACCUCCUCAGUGCCACCAUGAGCUUUGAAGGCCCUGAAGAAACACUCAGAACAGAAUUGUGGAUGUCAGAUAAUGCACUGUUAUUAAGAUGUGGAAGAGCCAUGGGCAGCUACAAGAGGCAGCUCCAUCAGGAUUUAUCAUCCCAGAUGCAAAACCCUCCAGGAUUCACGUCGAACCUGCAGCACUCCAUGAGUCAGCCUUCAGGGAAUCUGUGGUCAAACAGAUAAAACAUAAUUAUUCAUGCAAGAAUACAAGCAAAUAGUGGGAAAACAACUGCAUCAUAAGGGAGGAUGAUACAUCUGCCUGCAGGCCUGGUGCCUAAAAUGCUUCUCAGUUCUGCAUGCAGAAGUCUGGGCAGGAUUUUUUUAAAAACCUGGGCUGGUGGAAGGUGUCCUUGCCCAUGGCAGGGGGUGGAACUGGAUGAGUUUUAAUGGUCCCUUUCCAUGAUUCCAUGAAGGGCUGCACAUGCAGAUUCCGUCCCCUUGCAGCCCUAAUAGAGAGAUGAAAUAUUUUUUCACAGCAUCUGCUGCUGCACCAGGUCUCACUAAUAAUUUCAAAUUUCCCAGGGAGAAAAGAGUUAAGACUAAUUAGAAGCACUAGAUAAACUAGUAGCUGGAGGGGGAAAGCAGAAUUGAAGUUGCAUUUCAGUUUUAAAGGUGGUUAAAGCAUCUUUAAAGGCGAGGGGUCACUUUCUGGGAGCUGGAGCAAAGCAGCUCAUCAAUAAUGAAGGAGCCGGCGAUGGA